CCAGGAUUAGAUACCCUAUUAUUCUUAAACUAAAACAACCUUAAGAAGUACUUGUUAUAAGCAUGAAACCUAAAGGAUUUGGCGGUGUUUUACCUAACCAGAGGAACCCGUUCCGUAAAUCGUCAAAACACGAAACACCUUACCCAAAGAACGUUCAUAUACCGUCAUUUAACUCAAGCCAAUAAGCAAUAUUAAAAUAGGAGACUAAAAAAUUAGAUCAGGUGUGGCAUCUUUGGGGGAGAAUAGGUUACAUUUUAAAAGCAAGUGGAAUUUUUAUUAAAAAAGAAUGAAAAAGGAUUUGUAAGUAAUUUUAGUAA
rnacentral:rRNA from 1 species